UACAGAGGUCUCAAGCGUUGUUCGGAUUCAUUGGGCGUAAAGGGUGCGUAGGUGGCAUGGUAAGUCGGAUGUGAAAUCCCGGGGCUCAACCCCGGAACUGCAUUCGAUACUGCUGCGCUAGAGUACUGGAGAGGAGAUUGGAAUUUACGGUGUAGCAGUGAAAUGCGUAGAUAUCGUAAGGAAGACCAGUGGCGAAGGCGGAUCUCUGGACAGUUACUGACACUGAGGCACGAAGGCCAGGGGGGCAAACGGG
rnacentral:rRNA from 1 species